rnacentral:rRNA from 1 species
CCUACGGGUGGCAGCAGUGAGGAAUAUUGGUCAAUGGACGAGAGUCUGAACCAGCCAAGUAGCGUGAAGGAUGACUGCCCUAUGGGUUGUAAACUUCUUUUAUAUGGGAAUAAAAUGUUCCACGUGUGGGAUUUUGUAUGUACCAUAUGAAUAAGGAUCGGCUAACUCCGUGCCAGCAGCCGCGGUAAUACGGAGGAUCCGAGCGUUAUCCGGAUUUAUUGGGUUUAAAGGGAGCGUAGGUGGAUUGUUAAGUCAGUUGUGAAAGUUUGCGGCUCAACCGUAAAAUUGCAGUUGAAACUGGCAGUCUUGAGUACAGUAGAGGUGGGCGGAAUGCGUGGUGUAGCGGUGAAAUGCUUAGAUAUCACGAAGAACUCCGAUUGCGAAGGCAGUUCACUGGACUGCAACUGACACUGAGGCUCGAAAGUGGGGGUAUCAAACAGGAUUAGAUACCCCAGUAGUC